CACGCUGUAAACGAUGAUCACUAGGUGUAGCGGGUACUCAUUCCUGCUGUGCCGCAGCCAACGCAUUAAGUGAUCCGCCUGGGGAUUACGGUCGCAAGACUAAAACUCAAAGGAAUUGACGGGGGCCCGCACAAGCGGUGGAGUAUGUGGUUUAAUUCGACGCAACGCGAAGAACCUUACCUGGGCUUGACAUCCCCGGCUAGCCUUAGAAAUAGGGUAUUCACCUUCGGGUGACCGGGAGACAGGUGC
rnacentral:rRNA from 1 species